UUUCCAUCAUAUAUAUCUAUCAUUUAUAUGACCGACAUAGCUAUAAAUGUUAUAUUGAUCAUUUAUAUGUCUAUCGUUUAUAUUUAUCAUCCACCACUUGUCUAUCAUUUGUCUGUCUACCAAUCAUCUAUCCAUCUGUCUAUCUCUAUUUAUCUAUCUAUGAAUGAUGGGAGAUUCAUUAGGGGAAUUGGGUCAUGUGAUUACAGAGGCCACAAAAUCCCAUGGGUGGCUAUCUGCAAACAGGACAACCCAGGGAGUGGGUGCUGUGCCUCAGUCCUAGUCACAGCAUGCUAUACCCCAGCCCGAGGCUGCCAGGCUGAGCACCUGGGGGGCACUGGUGCCGUGCAGGGGCCCAAAGGCUGGGGAACUGGGAGUGCUAAUGUCUGAGGAGGAGAAGGCUCAGCUCCUCAGGAGAGAGCAGCUUCACCUGUCCUCUGCACUUGUGUUCUGUCCAGCUCCAGCCCUCUCAUUCUGUCCACUGACUCAGAUGCCGUGUCUCACGGAAACCCUUUCUAGUAGCUGUCAGACAUCGAGUUUAGCAACGCCUGAAUUUCACCAUCGCGGGACCUGGUGGCACGUGGCGGCUCCAGGGUGGCGGCUGCUGUCGUGGGCCUAUUCUGCAGAAAGGUGGAUGUGCACAGCAGGAGGAGGAAAGGAACCUGGACUUGGCACCCUUGGAAGUCUCUGUCUUUGGGAUCCUCGCCUCUCUCCUCCCCGAGCUGUGGCGAUGUCUGGACGAGGUCCUGGUCACUUUUGAGCCCAGCUUUCUCCUCCCUCUUCCCCUUCCUGCCCGUUCCUCUCCUUCCCUGUCCACUCUGAGAUGCUGUCGUGGGGGUCGGAUGAAGGCUUUGCAUCACACAUGACACAGAGCGACCCACCCUCCUGACCGUCAAAGCCCACCCGUCCUCUGCUCCCACGGUGGUUUCUCGCGGUCAGCUCCCCAAUUCUCUCCCAGCCCCACUUCGCCGCAUCCUCUCAGUGCAGCACCCAGCUAUCUCCCUGCCCUCUUUGGGAACCUUGACUCCUCCCGGAAGUGUGCAUCUCUGUCACUUCCUGGAUGUUCCUGCCCUGCCAGGCCGUGCUACAGGGAAGACUCAGGAACUGAGCAGCCCUGCUCGGCCCGGCUUCCGGGCUUCCCCCAGGAAGGGGGAGACUGGAGCCUGGCCUUGGCUUGGGAGUCUUGCCUUACUCUUCUGUCCUCAGGACAGCCGGUGGCCUCCUCCCUCCCGCUGCUCUUCUGAGGGGAGGUCAAAGUGGACCAGUUCCCAGCGCCCGCACUCUGUAACCUGCCAUGGAAAAGAGUGUGUGGGCCCGGCAGGCGCGGGACAUUGAGGUCAGCAGGUCCGUCCCCGUGGCGACAGCCAGGCCAGCACGUUUCCCGUUUUAGCGGAGACUAAAUGAAAUGGAACGGUGUUGGUCUUCACUCGUUCAAUAUAUCUUCACUUCCUCAGCGCCAAGGUCAUUUUUACCUUCACGGAAAGGAAGGCAAAAUAUAAAAUACCCAUUUAAACAGAAAUGCAUUUGCAGGUUUUUGAGAGCCAGGUAGAUGACUGAUAUAUUAUGUAAUUCAUUUCAUGGCCCAGCUGAAUGUGUUUUACAGAUAGCGUUUAACCUUGCCAAUUCUGCUCUGAGAUAAUCCCCCUUCUGAGGAUAAAAUCAUAUAUUUAACAUAAAAGGAGAAGCCGGAGAGGAAAGCCGCGUAGUGCGUCCCGAGCAACAGAGAACCGGGAGUUGCCCACACAGAGGGGUGAUCAGAGGAGCUCACUGCUGCUUUGCCUGAUUAACUAGUCUCACACUGACACCAGCCAGAGAUGAGGUGACAGCCAUGGAGGGAGGCAGUGUGCGCUGAGGGGCGAAACACACCUGGCUCCUGUGGCCGGUCGGCACACCAGCAGCGGUGUGGACUGCCGAGACAGGCCCUCUGCGGAUCUUACUCUGUCCUGCGUGGCUCCUGGGACCUGGCACAAUGGAACCCCCGAGCCUCAGGGUCCUUGUCUGGUCCCCGCCUUGGAGGGCUCUCAUCCGUGACAAGCCAAGCCACGGGUGGAGAGCUGAGAGCUGAGACCGUUGUAUCUCCCAGCCUGGCAGAUGCUGUCACCCCACAGAAUGUCCCUCCAGGAACCGUGGCCUGCGGAAGCUGAGAUCCUUCCGUGGGUGAUUUUGUGGGCAUAGUGUUCAUUGUCAUUUGCUAUCAGCCACCCCAACCCUCAUCCUGUCCCUCUGCCAACUCCCUCUUCCCCUCCACCUCCAGCAUGGCCACCCCUCGGCAGCUAUUUCAUCCACAGACGGGAAAUACCAGGAUCCUUAUCCCUGGCCAGGGACAUAUGAACGUCCAGCGAGGAGGUGGGGUUGUCAUAGCUUGUGUCUAGAUGUCUCCCCGAAGCCUCAUGCAGUCAUAGGUGGGGG